UUACGGCCAUAGCACGUUAAAAACACCGGUUCUUGUACGAUCAUCGAAGUUAAUGAAUGUCGAGCCUGGUCAGUACCUAGAUGGGUAACACCUUGGGAAUACCGGGUGCUGCAA